rnacentral:lncRNA from 1 species
CUGUAGAAUUGGGAUGUGAGAGGAAUAAGUCCCUUGUUUUGCUAAUAAUAAUAAACCUUUUGAAUGAGUGAUGAACGUGCCAAACUAAAUCCAUCAAUUACUUGAAAGAAAAAUUCAAAUGAUAUUGAGAUGCCAAAGGUGAUGAUAAGAUGACAGGACAGCCAGGGAAGAGGCAGUGCACGGAAAGGCCGUCAACACCAAAAAUCAAAAUAACCAGAGGGUGUUGAAAUGCACCCUUUUCAUGCUCUGCCUCGUCCCCGUCUGUCCUUACCAAUCUUUUUUACCUUGUAGCCGAAUUAUGCAGAUGAUUAGCACCCCAUGAUGUGCUAAUGAAUACCUGACUGCAGCCGUAAUUGCCCAUCUCCAUGAUUGGUGGAAUGAGCAUAGGGAAGAGAGAAUUGGCAGAAAGCAUAUGAGGGUUAGGGUGGAGAAAGCAUGUUUGAGUUAGAAAUUGAUGUCCCGUUUAAAUAUGAUGAAGAAUGAGAAAAGCAUUCUACCAAGAAUUCUAACUCUUUGCUCGAAAAAGAUGGUUUCGAAAUGUCUGCCCUGAUGGACAC